rnacentral:lncRNA from 1 species
GGGAUGAUCUAAAGAUUUGGUGCCUGCCUCAUAAGAGCUAAGAAGACACCUGAUCUAUUCUGGUAUUUUACUCAUUUAAGGUACACGAUGGUCCAAAAGUUUCAGAGCUUCAGUAUCAUCCAUCUUUGCAGAAAACACUGCUCACACAGGUGAAGGACAAAACCAGCAAAGAUGUUUGAUUUAAGUUCAAAUUUGUUCGCAGAAGGCGCCAAAACUGACAAAGUUACUUACUGGAGCUUCUGUCAUAAUGAAUAGAAUGACAUAUUUCACUAUUUAUUAUUAGCUUCAACGGUUAAGAUUUUUGGGUUUCAGCCUCACAAGGAUGAUUAUAAAAUACUGUUAAUCAGCUGACUGAUCGAUCAGUCCAUCUCUAUUACAAAAAUCACGACUCUGUACUACAUAGGACUCAUAUUUGCUUUUUCUUUAGCUGCAGAUCUAAAGUAUUAUAUUUAUACCUCUCCCAUUUUUAUGAUCUAUUUAUUUAAAUUCACACUUGUUAAAUAAAUCCUGAAACUGGAAACUUUUUAUUUUUUAAACCAAAAUAACUGAAACAGUAAAAGCGAGACUUCAUCUACAGAUGUGUUACUGCUUCAGAAGUUGAAGUUUUGAGCACCACUGCUGAAAGAAAAAACAACAUUCAUCAUUUAAGUUAUAAAACUCAUGCAAAGGGAAGUUAAAUAAAAAUCAUCAUUUUGUAAAAGACACUUAGACAUGUUCUUCAGGGUGUGGCCUGCAGAGGGCGCUCUAACGCCACAGUCGUCAGCCUCACAGCAGAGCUCAUGUUUGUGGCUUCAUGUGAGAUUUUAGUGUAACAAAAAAACGAGUAUUUGAGCAUUCCUGUGGCGCUCUGUCUGUUCAUGAUUGAUGAGGGCUUCAGCUGAAACCUUCAGUUUUACUCUUACUCGGUCUAGUUUGAACAGAAGUUUCUUCAGGAUGUGAAAGAGCGUGACUGUAUUCAUGUACUUUGGCAAAACAAGAUCAUGUUUAAUAUCUUGGUACUUAUUUUAGAGUUUUAUUUUGUUCAAUAUUAUAUUUCUUCUCCACAAAUCUUAAAGAUAACUAGUUGCUGUAAAAUACAAACUUUUACAGAUUAACACUCCAGGGAAAUCUUCCUAUCCUCCAAAUUUGGUUUAUUUGAACAGGGUGUUCUGGCAAACCUGAAGUAUUUAUUGCGAUGUGUUGAGAGAACUUUUUAAUUCUUGAACCCUGUAAAACAUUUAGAGUUUAAAAUGUUUGUUACAGGAUAGAGCAGGAUGAUCAAGAGCAAGAAAAGGUUAAAUCUGUGUGAAGAUGUAGAUUUUUAACUCUUAAAUAAAACAAAAGAUGUUAAAGGGACUACUGCAGGUCCUAAAAGCAUGAAAAAUAGUUCUUUUUCUUUCUUUUUCAUUAUUUAUUUUUUAUUUUGUUAAAAUCUGGCAUCUCAGUGUGUCAAUCACUUUACUACCAAAGAGGAUCAGGGCCACAUGAAGAGAAAAAAAAAUUACAGGAAGAUGAUAAAGUCAAAAUUUUGAGAUAAAAAAAUCAAAAUUUUGAGGUCAAAGUCGAAAUUUUGCGAUCAAAGCCGACAUGAAUAAAGUCAACAUUUCGACUUUUAAAAUUUCGACUUUUAAAAUUUUGACUUUAAUCUCGAAAUGAAAGUUUAAAAAAUCUUCCUCCUGUAAUUAUUUUUUGCUCUCCUUGUAACCCUAAUCCUCUUUUGUACUUUGCACACCCAGCAUACUUGUCUGCCAUGAGUCUGGAAUAAAUCCACCUCUGUUGUUUACAUAUCUAACGUUUAAAAAUAACUGUCAAAGUGACGUCAAACAGCUUCAGCAGGUAGGGAGUGAUCUUGUUUUCACAGCAAAGUUAUUAAUAAAGAAAAUAAAUAAAAUCAGGCCUAUAGAUAGCCGCAUAGUUAAUCUAUUAGUCCUCACAUGAAGUGAAUCCAAUCAGUUUAUUGAUAACACACACUGUCAGCCUCUUCCUCUGCAGUCGUUUCCAUCCAUGCAUUCGAAGUUGGUCCCUCCUGUAAGAGCCUCUCUGGAGUGAAAGUCUUUUUCUGACCACCAGCGGUACAUUCAUGAAGUAUUUAUCUGUUUUCACCCGCUGUUGACGUAAACAUCCGAGGUAUAUGGUCUUAAAUUCCAGAGCUUGUAGAGUUUCCUCUCCCUCUUUAUAAAAGCCUGCGAUGACAGGACCGUCUCGGUGAUUUGCAUUUUGGUUUCUGCAGCACACAGAUUAUUAUCAAAAUAAGACUUCAUAAAAACAAUCAUUUUCAACUCAAAAGAUUCUGCAUUUUGAUAGUAAAACUGCUUCUUAGAGGUCCUUGUGUAGAUGCUAAAUGGACUCGUACUGCAGCACUAGAAGCUACAAUAGGGGAUCAUCAAUAUCCCAUUAUCUCAUCCCAUUCAUAGACAUACAUGAUAAGAUGUGUUUGUUUGUGUUAAAUCAUCCAACACCUCAUUAAAAAAGUGCAUUUUGACCCACUCUAAAGGUGCAUAAUGGCGCCUGUUCUGUACAGUAUCCAUCCUCCGCCGCUAGUAUCUGCUCUUGUUCCUCACUGCCACUGACUGACUGUCUCUUCUGCACCAGGACACUUCGUUUUAACAUUGUCAAACACAGAAAGUAAACAUCAGCCCCGCCUUCCUGUGAUUGUCUGAUCUUCCUGAUGCUCACGUGUUGAAUCCACUCCCACCUGGAGCUUCGGCGUGUGGAAACAAACACUGAACAGAUAACUGCAGGUUGGGUGUGCUGCCGUGUCUGUACAGUAUGUCCUGUUGUUUUACAUUAAAGCCAGACUGUGGAUCGCUCGCUCGCUCACUCGCACGGAUCCUCGCCAAGAUAAAAAAUGAUUUCCAG